UCCCUGGUGGCUCAGACGGUAAAGCAUCUGCCUGCAAUGCGGGAGACCUGGGUUCAAUUCCUGGAUCGGGAA
rnacentral:tRNA from 1 species